GAUGAAGAACGUAGCGAAAUGCGAUAAGUAAUGUGAAUUGCAGAAUUCAGUGAAUCAUCGAAUCUUUGAACGCACCUUGCACCCUUUGGCAUUCCGAAGGGUAUGCUCGUUUGAGUGUCAUUGUACUCUCACACUCUCCGAUCCUAUGGAUCGGGGAGCGGUGGACUUGGGUGUUGCUGCCUUUCCUUGUGGCUCACCUCAAAUGUGUCAGUGCACCUCUUGGUUGGACAUAGUACGGCGUGAUAAGUGUCUUCGCCGGCACCUCGCAAGAGGGUGGCCGAUCGGGAGCUCUGUGCUUUCAAACCGUCUUCGGACAAUUUCUGACAACUUGACCUCAAAUCGAGUAGGACUACCCGCUGAACUUAAGCAUAUCAAUAAGCGGAGGA
rnacentral:misc_RNA from 1 species